rnacentral:rRNA from 1 species
UACGUAGGGUCCGAGCGUUGUCCGGAAUUACUGGGCGUAAAGAGCUCGUAGGCGGCUUGUCGCGUCGUCCGUGAAAACUUGGGGCUCAACCCCAAGCUUGCGGUCGAUACGGGCAGGCUAGAGUUCGGUAGGGGAGACUGGAAUUCCUGGUGUAGCGGUGAAAUGCGCAGAUAUCAGGAGGAACACCGGUGGCGAAGGCGGGUCUCUGGGCCGAUACUGACGCUGAGGAGCGAAAGCGUGGGGAGCGAACAGG